UAUGUGAUCGUCUCUCGCAUAUCAAUAAGCGGAGGAAAAGAAACUAACAAGGAUUCCCCUAGUAACGGCGAGUGAAGCGGGAAGAGCUCAAAUUUGAAAUCUUAAAGGGUUUCCCUUUACGAAUUGUAGUUUAAAGAAGUGUUUUCUGUUGAGGUUUUGGUAAAAGUUCUUUGGAAUAGGACAUCAUAGAGGGUGAGAAUCCCGUAUUUGACCUUUACUUUCAACUUUGUGAUACACUUUCAAAGAGUCGGAUUGUUUGGGAAUGCAGUCCAAAAUGGGUGGUAAAUUUCAUCUAAAGCUAAAUAUUGGCGAGAGACCGAUAGCGAACAAGUACCGUGAGGGAAAGAUGAAAAGAACUUUGAAAAGAGAGUUAAUCAGUACGUGAAAUUGUCAAAAGGGAAGCGUUUGACACCAGUGUUGUUUUUCUGAAAAUCAAUUAAAGAACUGUUUAUGCUAAGCUGUUUAGACUUUAUCAGCUAACUGUUUAGUUUUGAGCUUUUCUUUAAUGCACUUUUCAGUUAACAAGUCAACAUCAAUUUCUUCUGCUGUAAAAAAGCUUGAGGAAGGUGGCUUGAGAUUCGUCUUAAGUGUUUAUAGCCUCUUGCCUAUGCAGUCGGAGAGAUUGAGGUCUGCAGCGUAGAUCCUUCGGGGCUAAAUGCAUUUGUGCUAAGUUAUAGCAUUUUAUAGACAACUUGUUGACUAUGAUUUGUCUUGUAGCUUACUCGCUUAUGUUAUUUUACCUACGCUUAGGAUGUUGAGUAGCGACAUACGCAC
rnacentral:rRNA from 1 species